rnacentral:rRNA from 1 species
AUUGAACGCUGGCGGCAGGCCUAACACAUGCAAGACGAACGAGUGGCGGACGGGUGAGUAAUGUCUGGGAAACUGCCUGAUGGAGGGGGAUAACUACUGGCAACGGUAGCUAAUACCGCAUACCAUCAGAUGGGCCCAGAUGGGAGUAGCUAGUUGUUGGGGUAACGGCUCACCAAGGAGACGAUCCCUAGCUGGUCUGAGAGGAUGACCAGCCACACAGGAACUGAGACACGGUCCAGACUCAUACGUGGGGCAGCAGUGGGGAAUAGUGAACAAUGGGCGCAAGCCGGAUGCAGCCAUGCCGCGUGUAUGAAGAAGGCCUUCGGGUUGUAAAGUAAUUUCAGCGGGGAGGCGUUAACCGCAGAAGAAGCACCGGCUAACUCCGUGCCAGCAGCCGCGGUAAUAC